GGCUCAGGAUGAACGCUGGCGGCGUGCUUAACACAUGCAAGUCGAACGGAGUUGUGAUGUGAGCGAGAGGUAGCUUGCUAUAAUCAAUCUUUCACAACUUAGUGGCGGACGGGUGAGUAACGCGUGGGUAACCUGCCCUGUACAGGGGGAUAACAGUUGGAAACGACUGCUAACACCGCAUAACAUCGCGAGAGCGCAUGAUCUUGCGAUCAAAUAUUUAUAGGUACAGGAUGGGCCCGCGUCUGAUUAGCUAGAUGGUGAGGUAACGGCCCACCAUGGCGACGAUCAGUAGCCGUACUGAGAGGUAGAACGGCCACAUUGGGACUGAGACACGGCCCAAACUCCUACGGGAGGCAGCAGUGGGGAAUAUUGGUCAAUGGGGGAAACCCUGAAAACCCAGCGACGCCGCGUGAGUGAAGAAGUAUUUCGGUAUGUAAAGCUCUAUCAGCAGGGACGAUGAUGACGGUACCUGACUAAGAAGCCCCGGCUAACUACGUGCCAGCCGCGGC
rnacentral:rRNA from 1 species